rnacentral:rRNA from 1 species
UAGAUACCCUAUUAUUUAAAAAUGUAAUUAAUUUACUAGAGUAGUAUUAGUUAUAUUCUUGAAACUUAAAAAAUUUGGCGGUAUUUUAGUCUAUUCAGAGGAACCUGUUAUUUAAUCGAUAAUCCACGAUGGACCUUACUUAAUUUUGUUUUUCAGCUUAUAUAUCGCUGUUAUAGAAUAUUUUAUAAGAAUAAUAAUUUUCAAUUAAUUUUAUUAAAUUGUAUAUCAAGUCAAGGUGUAGCUUAUAAUUAAGUGUUUUAAUGGGUUACAAUAAAUAUAUUUAAAUGGAAUAAAAAUUGCAAUAUUUUUAUGAAAGUGGAUUUGAUAGUAAAUUUUUAAAGAUAAAAAAAUUGAUUUUAGCUCUAAAAUAUGUACACAUCGCCCGAUCGCUCU